ensembl:snRNA U6 U6 spliceosomal RNA
GUGCUUGCUUCAGCAGCACACAUACUAAAAUUGGAACAACACAGAGAAGAUCAGCAUGGCCCCUGCGCAAAGGAUGACAUUCAAAUUCGUGAAGCGUUCCACACUGGG